GUAUGUCCUAAAAGCCAAUAUGGUUGACAUAUUAUAAUAUAUUUAGGAUACAAUUUUAUACUUAAUAUAUUGAUAUGAUCAAUAAAAGGAUAAGUUCUUUUUCAUUCAAGUAUAAUGUAUCCUUGAAUCGUCCAUGAAAUUAGUUUCGAUACAUAUUCUCAAGGUAUUGAGAAUUAGAGACAUGUAUUUAAUUCUUAAAUAUUCUCGAUCAUAAGAUCAUCAUGAGGAUGAUGAU
rnacentral:lncRNA from 1 species